rnacentral:rRNA from 13 species
AAGUACCGUGAGGGAAAGGCGAAAAGAACCCCGGGAGGGGAGUGAAAUAGAUCCUGAAACCGCAUGCAUACAAAAAGUCGGAGCCGCAAGGUGACGGCGUACCUUUUGUAUAAUGGGUCAGCGACUUACAUUCAGUGGCGAGGUUAACCGAAUAGGGAAGCCGUAGAGAAAUCGAGUCCGAAUAGGGCGAAUAGUCGCUGGGUGUAGACCCGAAACCAAGUGAUCUAUCCAUGGCCAGGAUGAAGGUACCGUAACAGGUGCUGGAGGUCCGAACCGACUAGUGUUGCAAAACUAGCGGAUGAGCUGUGGAUAGGGGUGAAAGGCUAAACAAACUUGGAAAUAGCUGGUUCUCUCCGAAAACUAUUUAGGUAGUGCCUCAAGUAUUACCUGCGGGGGUAGAGCACUGUUUAGGUUAGGGGGUCAUGGCGACUUACCAAACCUUAGCAAACUCCGAAUACCGCAGAGUACAGCUUGGGAGACAGAGCACCGGGUGCUAACGUCCGGACUCAAGAGGGAAACAACCCAGACCGCCAGCUAAGGCCCCUAAA